AACGCUGGCGGCAGGCCUAACACAUGCAAGUCGAACGCCCUAGCAAUAGGGAGUGGCAGACGGGUGAGUAACACGUGGGAACCUUCCCUAUAGUACGGAAUAGCUCAGGGAAACUUGAAGUAAUACCGUAUACGCCCGAGAGGGGAAAGAUUUAUCGCUAUAGGAUGGGCCCGCGUCGGAUUAGCUAGUUGGUGAGGUAAUGGCUCACCAAGGCGACGAUCCGUAGCUGGUUUGAGAGAACGACCAGCCACACUGGGACUGAGACACGGCCCAGACUCCUACGGGAGGCAGCAGUGGGGAAUAUUGGACAAUGGGCGCAAGCCUGAUCCAGCCAUGCCGCGUGAGUGAUGAAGGCCUUAGGGUUGUAAAGCUCUUUUAGCAGGGAAGAUAAUGACUGUACCUGCAGAAUAAGCUCCGGCUAACUUCGUG
rnacentral:rRNA from 1 species